AACGCACAUUGCGCCCGCCAGUAUUCUGGCGGGCAUGCCUGUUCGAGCGUCAUUUCAACCCUCAAGCCCCAGCGGCCUGGUGUUGGGGACCGGCGACCUCGCCCGAGCCCGCCCUCCGGGGCGCGUGCCCGGUGCGUCCGCCGCCCCCGAAAUGAAUUGGCGGCCUCGUCGCGGCCUCCUCUGCGUAGUAGCACAACCUCGCAAGCGGGAGCGCGACGCGGCCACUGCCGUAAAACGCCCAACUUUUUUAGAGUUGACCUCGGAUCAGGUAGGAAUACCCGCUGAACUUAA
rnacentral:misc_RNA from 2 species